GUCAUGUCCAGUAAGUGGUUGUAAGCAUAUGUUUACAAAAAAGUCAUCAUUUACUUCUCACAUGUGUAGGAAGCAUAAAGCUUGUUCCCCAGAUGGUAUUGAUGACAUGUACAAGGAAUCUCGUCCUCAGCCCCCAAAUGACAGUACAGAAUAUUCAGAAAACACACAUGAAACCAUGGCAUCUGCUAGUUCAGCCAGUGAUAUGCCAGAGAAGGAUAGUCAUUCUUAUCUCAGAAACAUGUGUCUCUUUUACCUUAAACAGCUACUCAGCUACUUUGAAGAGAAGGAGGAGUCCAUGCUUCUCUGUGUUGAAGAUACAUGUCUGGCAGAUGAGGUACAACUGGAGCAAGUGCCUCUGACACCCACUAUUAUCAUGUGUGGUAAGUCUGUUUCAUAGCUCUCUCUCUCUCUUUUUUUUUAAGUGCAUUUUUUAUAGAAUGUCAUGUGACUGCCGUGUUUAUUGAUAUAACCUGUUAAAUAAUUUCUUCACAGGACAGUCCUGUUAUUCCUCAAGAAGAUACAUGCUGAGUGUUGAUCGGCACCUCGUCAGCACAAACAUAUCCUCCUUCAUUUCUGCACUGUGCCUCAUGUUCGGGAGCUACUACAAUUUCAACAUCCAUUAUCCAUCUGAGCUGGCUUCCACUUUAGAGUUUCUUCAGAGGUGAACAAAUAUGGCUUUGUUAUUUCUCAUAACUGAGACUCUGGGAUCUGGAGUCUGGCUUUGAUGUGGUUCGAGUCCAGGUCUGGCUCUGAGUCUCGGUCGGCUUUGGAGCCGGUUUCAGUUGUUUUUUCUGUUUUUUGUUGUUGUUUUUUUUGUUUGUUUGGUUUUUUUUAAAUACAUUAACAGUCUGAAUCUGGGUCCAAGCCUGGCCGAGACUCAGGGCUAGACCAAGCGUCAACUGACGUCUGACUACCUAUAACCUUUGCUUUGGAUUUUAACAAUGCUAAAGUGUGACAUAUCACUGCAGAAGACACUCAUGAAGGGUGCCAAUACUUUUGACCAUGCAUUGUUCACUUCCCCACAGCAUUUUGGUUAUACUUUGUCUUGAACGUGGUCAUGGCCAUGACUGUAUAUAUAUGUAUAUACUUAAUUUUUACUUACUUUGUAUGUGUAUUUUAACUGAUCAAUUAUAAAAAUGCUUAAUAAACUUUUAUAUGAUUGUUAUUCUACAGGUGUUUCUUCUCCAUAAACCCAGAAAAAGGAACCAAAGUAGAGAACAAAAACUCAAAGCGUCGUCUCAGUGUGAACCCUCGAGUCCUCACCCUGAUUUAGGAUCUCGCCGACCACGAGUGGCGCUAAGCCUAAAUCUUGACUCUCUGUGGACUGUUAGUUUUACUUUGUUAAUUUUGUUCCACAAUGUGUACUGGAACCUUUUACUGGUCGAAUGCAUGAAGCCAAUUCAUGAAGAUGUUCUUUCUUUGUAGGAAUGUUCUUUAUUUACAUAAGAAAAGAAAAAAAACAACAUGCUGCUACUGCAGUGUUUCUAGACCACAUGUGUAGGUUUGUUUCACCACGUGGUUUUGCUGAUGUUUUCUGACCAGGGCCAUGGUUGUGGUGACAGCAGGGUGCGUGUUGCGUUGCACGGUGAUUAUGAUCAUUUUUGGCACAAUAUGUGUUUUUUGUUUUAAAGUCUUAACAGGUUAUUUAACUUUUUCUGGUGGAGGGUCUUGUUAGACAAUAAGAACAAAAAAAAUGCUUGUUUCAUGAACAUGGUUCUUGCUUUGCAGGAAUGUUCCACAGCUUUUAUAGCCUAU
ensembl:lncRNA